GAAGCAUCCCAACCUGUAUUGUCAUAUAUAGGGGCCCUGAGGCCCGGGGGAACAGUAUUCUAGACGGACCACCACAMAGAGAGGAGAGAGAUGAAGCUACUAAAUAUCCUGUGCUUCUGCCUGGCUGUCCUCGCCUCCACUUGGGCUGAGGACGUAAGUCACCGUAUUGAGGCCCGUCGUGAACCGGCCAGUAGAACAUGGCUACAAGGCUGAUAAAUGUGCCACAGAGAGGAGCUGGCCUUUCUGCUCAGAUGACGACUGGGUACGUUUUCACUCUUAGGAAACCUUGGAAAU